CAGCAUUUGGUCACCAAGGGGGAUCUGCAGCUGUGCAGCCUGGCACACACUUGAAAGAGGCCAGGAGAAGAGAUCGUUGGUCUUUGAUACAUCAGGCACCCAGGACUGUCCCACCAUUUGCAAGCUGGAGUGAACAAACUAGAUGUCACCAGUGAAGACACAGCUCUCCACUC
rnacentral:lncRNA from 1 species